rnacentral:RNase_P_RNA from 1 species
CAGGCCGGUCGGGUGAUCGCAGUACUGCCAGACAGUAUUGAGGAAAGUCCGCACUCCAUAGGGCAAGAUGCCGGGUAACGCCCGGAACGGGAAACCGUUGGAUAGGGCCACAGAAACAAACCGCCCUCCGGGGUAAGGUUGAAAAGGUGGUGUAAGGGACCACCGGCGUCGCAGUAAUGCGGCGGCCAGGUAACCCCCAUCUGGAGCAAGGCCAAGCAGGGACAAAGCCUGUACGCAGGCGGGAAGCGGCUCGUUUCCCUCGAGUCCCGGGUAGGCUGCACGAGCCGGGUGGCGACAUCCGGCCCAGAGAGAUGAUCAUCCAGACAGGCGUCGUCCAUUUGGAUACCCGCCGGUUGGACAGAAUGCGGCUUAUAGAUCGACCUGGGAU